GUUAGUGACAAGGAGGGCUGCCAUCUGGUCUUAGCAGCGGGGAGGAAGUGGCUAGUUCAGGGCUCAGAUGAGAGAGAUGGCAGAGCUAGAGGCAGACACUAGCAUGGGGGUGGGAGAAGGAAAAUUUACCAUUAAAGAGACUAGAUUUGGGGACAGUGGUUGUGUGGACGGCAGCUUCCAAAGCGCCUUCAACAAUCCACACAGGGGCAACAUCCUGCAAGACCAGACUGGCCCUGCCGUCUGUAGCAGUGGGGGAACCUGAUCUCCAGGAGGUCACAACUCUCACAGGGGCCUACAUGGACCCAGUGUUCUAGCUCUAGUGGCAGAGCAGGAGAUGUAGACAGGUGGACUCGGGCCCUUGAGGCCCUGGAUCUCCUGAAGAUAGGCGUGGGGGUCAGCUUUGAACUUGACAAUGGCAGCAGACCCUUUUUUUCCAGAUAGGGGUUGUGAACCCGCCUGGGGAUGAGGCCCGUCCUCUGGACCGUGGACUCAGCUUCACGGGGCUGAGAGUUCUGGCUCCGGGUGGUGGCAGUUUCCCUCUGGACUUUCCCUAGGUUCCCUGGCUCUCUCUUCUGUGAACUCCCUCCUUCCCUUCUCCCUCUAACUCUGAGGUUACAGGUUCCCUUAACCUUGUCUCUCGGUCAUCUGGUAAGCCUGGGGAAGGUAGUGAGUCGGUGUUGGCGACUUGGACUCGGUAUUUUGGUACUACUGGGGAAAGUGGAGGACACCCUGACUUGGGAGGGGAGGAUGGGAUCACAGCCAUGGUUUUGGUCACCCAAAUGAAUGCCUCACGGACGUGGUUUAUUACUGUAGUGUUCAUCAUGGCAAGCAGAUGGCACCAGGAGAAAUGGAACCCCUGCAGUGCAGGAGGGCAGACCCUGGAGGAGACAGCGACCUAAGCUGAUGCCCACAGUGAAUUCCAGAGCUUAGGAGUCCUGCACUGCCAUGUGUCCAGGCCUUACUCAGGAAGUCCUGUGUUUGGAAGGCCUUCAUCUUAAGUGGUUCAGCCUUUGGGGGUGGGGACAGGCAGACCCUUCCAGCUGGAGGGGCUGUCGCCUAUGAAUGUUCCGGAUGAAUGUCUUGUUCUGGGAGCAUCAUUCUCCGGAUGCGUGAAUGCCAGCCAGCACCCUCCUUCCUGGGGGUAGAGGCAUUUAGCUGCUGCAUCUUCUAAAUCAAGGCUCCAGUCUUUAAUUCUGUGCUACGAACUUGGCUUCGAGAAGAUUGCUUAAGGUGUAGAACACUUUUAACUUUGAUGCCCUCAACGCGUCCAGGUGCCUUGUAGAUGGUGUUUGCAGGAGGAGCCCGGUGACCCCGCCCACCUUCCCUGCUUCUGCAGCCUGUGAACCUCUGCAUUGGUCAGAGGCCUUCUUAAGUGUGAUAAACUUUGGGUAUUGGGGAAAGCUGUUCAAUUUCGAAUGGAAGAGUAUUAGCUGAUUAUUAAAACGAAUGGGGGUGUCGUGUUUAAAGAGUAUGGGAGGGUACAAGUUGGCUGCAAGUUCUGUUGGGAUAUGUAUAUGGCAUGUCUACUUUGGGCAUUGGGAUGGCAUCUGGGAAUAUAUUCUGUGGGUUUGGUUUUGGUACUGGGUGAUAAGCAGGUGCUACCUACUGAGUGGCAACUGUUAUUGCUCCUUUUCAUUUCUGACUUGGGGCCUGGCAGUCUACACCAGGCUGGCCUUGGCUCUCAACACCGCUGGGAUUAGGGGUGUCAUCUAAAACUUUCAGCCGAGCUUUUUAAAGUUUUACUGGAUCAGGCAGGCUUCAGAGGUGGGAUUGCUGGAGGGAGCAGGACUCAGCUUGGCAUUGGUGUCUUGGCCAGAAGCUUGGUGAGGGAUUGGGGUGCUAGCAAGGGAUGUGGCUUGAUGGGAGUGAUGACUGGGGAACCAUAGCUCACACUGAAAGUCGCUGGUAAAUCCUUACUGUGGGUGAAUUGAGGGGCAGUAACGGUUGCUUGGAAAAUAUCAGAAUCAGGAGGAAAAGCAAAAUUGAUUUGCUCUGCUGUUGAGUGGAAGAUGGUAUCAAACUCAAGAAUGCCCAAGCACAUGCCAGCCUGUGGAGAGGGUUUGUGAAUUCCUACAUUGUGGGCUCUUAAAGGCAUUGGCCUUUGUGCUGGAGGUUGACAGAUUCUGCUGGGUUUAUGAUUCAAAUCCUUUCAUACUGUGUGGUUAAAUUCUAAUGCUAUUAUAUCUAAAGGAUUUAAUUUGCAAGUCAUGCCUUAUACAACACUAAAGGAAUUUAAUUUGCAAGUCAUGCCUUAUACAACACUACAGGAAUUUAAUGUGCAAUCCAUGCCUUAUGAAACAUACUGAAUUUCUGGGAGUGGCCAGGAGACAACAGGUGUUGCUUACUUGACUAACAAAUCAGUCAUUGUGACAGGGAACAUGGGCUUGCACGUGCUGUGAAAUUACUGUGACAUUUGGUAGGAAAUUUGAUCUGCGUAUCUUUGCCAAGGCUGCGAUGAAAACAUGGUGUGUUUAGCUUGAAUGGUGUUCCCAGCCAUCCUGAGCAGAGGGGAAACUGUAACUGUCAAAUGAGUUUGGGGAAAUAAAGGUCAAACUGGGGGUUGCAAGGGACGUCUUACUUAGAUAAUGGUCUGUACACAUUGAAAACCUGGGUGUAAAGUGGCAGUGUGGCUUUUUGUGUUGUCUUUUCCCAAUCCUGUUACCUCGGGACUGUCUUCGGGUUGGUUAUUUGUGUGCUGCGUUUUAUUUGUGUUUUAAAGUCAUGGUGUGACCAGGGAAUGACACUGGGACAGCAGAGUGUUGGUCACCUUGGAAUGGGAAAUGGGGGAGCUGUAGCGGCGGUCACAGCACCUCUUUGUUCUAAUCAUCUUUCUCCUUUCCAGCAAAAUAAAGGUUUGAGAUUGAAACACCUUAGAA